UACGAAGGGGGGCUAGUGUUGCUCGGAAUGACUGGGCGUAAAGGGCGCGUAGGCGGAUGGCACAGUCAGAUGUGAAAUUCCCGGGCUUAACCUGGGGGGCUGCAUUUGAUACGUGUUGUCUAGAGUGAGGAAGAGGGUUGUGGAAUUCCCAGUGUAGAGGUGAAAAUUCGUAGAUAUUGGGAAGAACACCGGUGGCGAAGGCGGCAACCUGGUCCUUGACUGACGCUGAGGCACGAAAGCUAGGGGGAGCAAACAGG
rnacentral:rRNA from 1 species